AUUGAACGCUGGCGGCAGGCUUAACACAUGCAAGUCGAGCGAGCGGCGGACGGGUGAGUAAUGUCUGGGAACCUGCCCGGUGGCGGGGGAUAACUACUGGAAACGGUAGCUAAUACCGCAUACCUUCGGAUGUGCCCUGAUGGGAUUAGUUAGUGGGUGGGGUAAUGGCUCACCUAGGCAACGAUCCCUAGCUGGUCUGAGAGGAUGACCAGCCACACUGGAACUGAGACACGGUCCAGACUCCUACGGGAGGCAGCAGUGGGGAAUAUUGGACAAUGGGCGCAAGCCUGAUGCAGCCAUGCCGCGUGUGUGAAGAAGGCCUUCGGGUUGUAAAGCACUUUCAGCGAGGAGGCGGUACUCGCAGAAGAAGCACCGGCUAACUCCGUGCCAGCCGCCGCGGUAAUAC
rnacentral:rRNA from 1 species